AGAGUUUGAUCCUGGCUCAGGAUGAACGCUAGCUACAGGCUUAACACAUGCAAGUCGAGGGGAAACGAUAGAGAAAGCUUGCUUUUUCUAGGCGUCGACCGGCGCACGGGUGAGUAACGCGUAUCCAACCUGCCCAUCACUUGGGGAUAACCUUGCGAAAGUAAGACUAAUACCCAAUGACGUCUCUAGAAGACAUCUGAAAGAGAUUAAAGAUUUAUCGGUGAUGGAUGGGGAUGCGUCUGAUUAGCUUGUUGGCGGGGUAACGGCCCACCAAGGCGACGAUCAGUAGGGGUUCUGAGAGGAAGGUCCCCCACAUUGGAACUGAGACACGGUCCAAACUCCUACGGGAGGCAGCAGUGAGGAAUAUUGGUCAAUGGGCGAGAGCCUGAACCAGCCAAGUAGCGUGCAGGAAGACGGCCCUAUGGGUUGUAAACUGCUUUUAUACGGGGAUAAAGUGAGUCACGUGUGGCUUAUUGCAGGUACCGUAUGAAUAAGGACCGGCUAAUUCCGUGCCAGCAGCCGCGGUAAUACGGAAGGUCCGGGCGUUAUCCGGAUUUAUUGGGUUUAAAGGGAGCGUAGGCCGUCUGUUAAGCGUGUUGUGAAAUGUCGGGGCUCAACCUGGGCAUUGCAGCGCGAACUGGCAGACUUGAGUGCGCAGGAAGUAGGCGGAAUUCGUCGUGUAGCGGUGAAAUGCUUAGAUAUGACGAAGAACUCCGAUUGCGAAGGCAGCCUGCUGUAGCGUAACUGACGCUGAAGCUCGAAAGCGUGGGUAUCGAACAGGAUUAGAUACCCUGGUAGUCCACGCGGUAAACGAUGGAUGCUCGCUGUUUGCGUCUGACGUAAGCGGCCAAGCGAAAGCGUUAAGUAUCCCACCUGGGGAGUACGAUCGCAAGGUUGAAACUCAAAGGAAUUGACGGGGGCCCGCACAAGCGGUGGAGUAUGUGGUUUAAUUCGAAGCAACGCGAAGAACCUUACCAGGGCUUGACAUCCCGGUGACCGCUCUAGAGAUAGAGCUUUCCCUUCGGGGACGCCGGUGACAGGUGGUGCAUGGUUGUCGUCAGCUCGUGUCGUGAGAUGUUGGGUUAAGUCCCGCAACGAGCGCAACCCCUAUUGUUAGUUGCUACGCAAGAGCACUCUAGCGAGACUGCCGUUGACAAAACGGAGGAAGGUGGGGACGACGUCAAAUCAUCAUGCCCCUUAUGUCCUGGGCCGCACACGUACUACAAUGGUGGUUAACAGAGGGAAGCAAUACCGCGAGGUGGAGCAAAUCCCUAAAAGCCAUCCCAGUUCGGAUUGCAGGCUGAAACCCGCCUGUAUGAAGUUGGAAUCGCUAGUAAUCGCGGAUCAGCAUGCCGCGGUGAAUACGUUCCCGGGCCUUGCACACACCGCCCGUCAAG
rnacentral:rRNA from 1 species